GCGAGUGGCAGCUACGGACUCCGCCGGUAGAAGCCAUUGAAGAUAAAUCUUUCAUGAGUUCAGCAAACUGCAUAGAGGCUAGGAAUUGCCCAAACACAUCAACAAUGUCCCUAUCCUGUACAACAUUCACUUGCAACAGCAAUGGAGAAAGUUCAGGUAUGAUUUCUCAGUUAAUUAUGAGGUAUGAACGAACUAUGUAAAUGUGUAUUGUAUUCUGAAAUCUCAGAGGAAAGCCAAAGCUCACUUUUGGCAAUGACAUCAAUGAGCUGAGUUUCAGAGUUUAGGGACCAAAUUAAUGGAGACACCGAUUGCUGACUACAUUGUUAGCCAGUUAUAGUGAGACCAAAGGAAGUGACACUAACAGUUUUAAUGGAGAUGGCAGUCUUUAAAAGAUCAGAGACUCAGAGUUGAGACAUUGCCCCUUUGAAUCAUGUUCGCUUUGCUGAAUGAGUUUGAUUUGUUG